GAUUAGUGGCGAACGGGUGAGUAACACGUGAGUAACCUGCCCCUUACUUUCCUGGAUAACUGCUCGAAAGGGUAGCUAAUACGGGAUAUUCUGACUAGCCUGCAUGGGUUGGUUUGGAAAGGUUGUUUUUCUGGUAAGGGAUGGGCUCGCGGCCUAUCAGCUUGUUGGUGGGGUGAUGGCCUACCAAGGCUUUGACGGGUAGCCGGCCUGAGAGGGUGGACGGUCACACUGGGACUGAGAUACGGCCCAGACUCCUACGGGAGGCAGCAGUGGGGAAUAUUGCACAAUGGGCGCAAGCCUGAUGCAGCGACGCCGCGUGAGGGAUGAAGGCCUUCGGGUUGUAAACCUCUUUCGUCAGGGAACAAGGCACUGCUUUUGGUGGUGUUGAGGGUACCUGGAUAAGAAGCGCCGGCUAACUACGUGCCAGCAGCCGCGGUAAUACGUAGGGCGCAAGCGUUGUCCGGAAUUAUUGGGCGUAAAGAGCUCGUAGGCGGCUGGUCGCGUCUGUCGUGAAAACUUCCGGCUCAACCGGGGGCUUGCGGUGGGUACGGGCCGGCUAGAGUGCGGUAGGGGUAACUGGAACUCCUGGUGUAGCGGUGGAAUGCGCAGAUAUCAGGAAGAACACCGAUGGCGAAGGCAGGUU
rnacentral:rRNA from 1 species